rnacentral:rRNA from 1 species
UACGGAGGGUGCAAGCGUUAUCCGGAUUUACUGGGUUUAAAGGGUGCGUAGGUGGAUUUGUAAGUCAGUGGUGAAAUCUCCGAGCUUAACUCGGAAACUGCCAUUGAUACUAUAAGUCUUGAAUUAUCUGGAGGUAAGCGGAAUAUGUCAUGUAGCGGUGAAAUGCUUUGAUAUGACAUAGAACACCAAUUGCGAAGGCAGCUUACUACGGGUAUAUUGACACUGAGGCACGAGAGUGUGGGGAUCAAUCAGG